CCUACGGGUGGCUGCAGUGGGGAAUAUUGCACAAUGGGGGAAACCCUGAUGCAGCGACGCCGCGUGAGUGAAGAAGUAAUUCGUUACGUAAAGCUCUAUCAGUAGGGAAGAAACACUGACCUUACGGUCAGCAGACGGUAGAUGAGAAAGAAGCCCCGGCGAAAGACGCGCCAGCAGCCGCGGGAAUACGGAGGGGGCGAGCGUUGUCCGGAUUUACUGGGUGGAAAGGGUGCGUAGACGGUGCGCCAAGUCUGGAGUGAAAUGCCGCAGCUUAACUGCGGAAGUGCUGUGGAAACUGGCGAUCUAGAGUGCGGGAGGGGUAAGCGGAAUUCGUAGUGUAGCGGUGAAAUGCGUAGAUAUUAGGAGGAACACCGGUGGCGAAGGCGGCUUACUGGACCGUAACUGACGUUGAGGCUCGAAAGCGUGGGUAGCAAACAGGAUUAGAUACCCUAGUAGUC
rnacentral:rRNA from 1 species